rnacentral:rRNA from 1 species
AGCGAACGCUGGCGGCAGGCUUAACACAUGCAAGUCGAGCGGACCUUUCGGGGUCAGCGGCGGACGGGUGAGUAACGCGUGGGAACGUGCCUUCCGGUUCGGAAUAACCCUGGGAAACUAGGGCUAAUACCGGAUACGCCCUUAUGGGGAAAGGUUUACUGCCGGAAGAUCGGCCCGCGUCUGAUUAGCUAGUUGGUGGGGUAACGGCCUACCAAGGCGACGAUCAGUAGCUGGUCUGAGAGGAUGAUCAGCCACACUGGGACUGAGACACGGCCCAGACUCCUACGGGAGGCAGCAGUGGGGAAUAUUGGACAAUGGGCGCAAGCCUGAUCCAGCCAUGCCGCGUGAGUGAUGAAGGCCUUAGGGUCGUAAAGCUCUUUUAUCCGGGACGAUAAUGACGGUACCGGAGGAAUAAGCCCCGGCUAACUUCGUG